rnacentral:rRNA from 1 species
AAUGGGGGAAACCCUGACGCAGCAACGCCGCGUGGGUGAAGAAGGCCUUCGGGUCGUAAAGCCCUUUCGGACGGGACGAACGCUCCGCGGGGACAAGCCGCGGAGUCUGACGGUACCGUAGGAAGAAGCACCGGCUAACUCCGUGCCAGCAGCCGCGGUAAUACGGAGGGUGCGAGCGUUGUUCGGAAUUACUGGGCGUAAAGCGCGUGUAGGCGGCUUUGCAAGCCAGACGUGAAAGCCCUCGGCUUAACCGGGGAAGUGCGUCUGGAACUGCUUGGCUUGAGUACGGGAGAGGGAGGCGGAAUUCCCAGUGUAGAGGUGAAAUUCGUAGAUAUUGGGAGGGACACCGGUGGCGAAAGCGGCCUCCUGGACCGAUACUGACGCUGAGACGCGAAAGCGUGGGGAGCAAACAGGAUUAGAUACCCUGGUAGUCCACGCGGUAAACGAUGGGCACUAGGUGUGGGGGGUAUCCACUCCUCCCGUGCCGAAGCUAACGCAUUAAGUGCCCCGCCUGGGGAGUACGGCCGCAAGGUUA